GACGAACGCUGGCGGCGUGCUUAACACAUGCGAGUCGAACGCUGAAGCUCAGCUUUUGUUGGGUGGAUGAGUGGCGAACGGGUCAGUAACACGUGAGUAACCUGCCUCCUUCUUUGGGAUAACGCCCGGAAACGGGUGCUAAUACUGGAUAUUCACUGGUCUUCGCAUGGGGGUUGGUGGAAAGGGUUUUUCUGGUGGGGGAUGGGCUCGCGGCCUAUCAGCUUGUUGGUGGGGUGAUGGCCUACCAAGGCUUUGACGGGUAGCCGGCCUGAGAGGGUGACCGGUCACAUUGGGACUGAGAUACGGCCCAGACUCCUACGGGAGGCAGCAGUGGGGAAUAUUGCACAAUGGGCGCAAGCCUGAUGCAGCGACGCCGCGUGAGGGAUGGAGGCCUUCGGGUUGUGAACCUCUUUCGCUCAUGGUCAAGCCGCAACAAUGGUUGUGGUGAGGGUAGUGGGUAAAGAAGCGCCGGCUAACUACGUG
rnacentral:rRNA from 1 species